GAUGAACGCUGGCGGCGUGCCUAAUACAUGCAAGUCGAGCGAACAGACGAGGAGCUUGCUCCUCUGACGUUAGCGGCGGACGGGUGAGUAACACGUGGAUAACCUCCCUAUAAGACUGGGAUAACUUCGGGAAACCGGCGCUAAUACCGUAUAAUAUAUUGAACCGUAUGGUUCAAUAGUGAAAGACGGUUUUGCUGUCACUUAUAGAUGGAUACGCGCUGCAUUAGAUAGUUGGUAAGUUAACGGCUUACCAAGGCAACGAUGCGUAGGCGACCUGAGAGGGGGAUCGGCCACACUGGAACGGGGACACGGUCCAGACGCCUACGGGAGGCAGCAGUAGGGAAUCGUCCGCAAUGGGCGAAAGCCUUGCGGAGCAACGCCGAGUGAGUGAUAAAGGUCUUCGGAUCGUAAAACUCUGUUAUUAGGGAAGAACAAAUGUGUAAGUAACUAUGCACGUCUUGACGGUACCUAAUCAGAAAGCCACGGCUAACUACGUG
rnacentral:rRNA from 1 species